rnacentral:rRNA from 1 species
AUUGAACGCUAGCGGGAUGCUUUACACAUGCAAGUCGAACGGCAGCGCGGACUUCGGUCUGGCGGCGAGUGGCGAACGGGUGAGUAAUGUAUCGGAACGUGCCCAGUAGCGGGGGAUAACUACGCGAAAGCGUAGCUAAUACCGCAUACGCCCUACGGGGGAAAGCAGGGGAUCGUAAGACCUUGCACUAUUGGAGCGGCCGAUAUCGGAUUAGCUAGUUGGUGAGGUAACGGCUCACCAAGGCGACGAUCCGUAGCUGGUUUGAGAGGACGAGCAGCCACACUGCGACUGAGACACGGCCCAGACUCCUACGGGCAGCAGCAGUGGGGAAUGUUGGACAAUGGGGGCAACCCUGAUCCAGCCAUCCCGCGUGUGCGAUGAAGGCCUUCGGGUUGUAAAGCACUUUUGGCAGGAAAGAAACGUCGCGGGCUAAUACCCCGUGGAACUGACGGUACCUGCAGAAUAAGCACCGGCUAACUACGUG